UGGGGAAUCUUCCACAAUGGGCGAAAGCCUGAUGGAGCAACGCCGCGUGUGUGAUGAAGGGUUCCGGCUCGUAAACACUGUUGUAAGAGAAGAAUGACAUUGAGAGUAACUGUUCAAUGUGUGACGGUAUCUUACCAGAAAGGAACGGCUAAAUACGUGCCAG
rnacentral:rRNA from 1 species